GACGAACGCUGGCGGCGUGCUUAACACAUGCAAGUCGAACGGAAAGGCCUCUUUCGGGGGGUACUCGAGUGGCGAACGGGUGAGUAACACGUGAGUAACCUGCCCUUGACUUUGGGAUAACUUCAGGAAACUGGGGCUAAUACCGGAUAGGAGCUCCUGCUGCAUGGUGGGGGUUGGAAAGUUUCGGCGGUUGGGGAUGGACUCGCGGCUUAUCAGCUUGUUGGUGGGGUAGUGGCUUACCAAGGCUUUGACGGGUAGCCGGCCUGGGAGGGUGACCGGCCACAUUGGGACUGAGAUACGGCCCAGACUCCUACGGGAGGCAGCAGUGGGGAAUAUUGCACAAUGGGUGGAAGCCUGAUGCAGCAACGCCGGGUGCGGGAUGACGGCCUUCGGGUUGUAAACCGCUUUCGCUCAUGACGAAGCUUUGUGUGACGGUAGUGGGUAAAGAAGCACCGGCUAACUACGUG
rnacentral:rRNA from 1 species